AUUUUCUGCGUGCGGCUGACGGCAGAAGUGGCG
rnacentral:rRNA from 1 species